UGGGGAUUAUUGCACAAUGGGCGCAAGCCUGAUGCAGCCAUGCCGCGUGUGUGAAGAAGGCCUUCGUGCUGUAAAGCACUUUCAGCGGGGAGGAAGGCGAUAAGGUUAAUAACCUUGUCGAUUGACGUUACCCGCAGAAGAAGCACCGGCUAACUCCGUGCCAGCAGCCGCGGUAAUACGGAGGGUGCAAGCGUUAAUCGGAAUUACUGGGCGUAAAGCGCACGCAGGCGGUCUGUCAAGUCGGAUGUGAAAUCCCCGGGCUCAACCUGGGAACUGCAUUCGAAACUGGCAGGGUAGAGUCUUGUAGAGGGGGGUAGAAUUCCAGGUGUAGCGGUGAAAUGCGUAGAGAUCUGGAGGAAUACCGGUGGCGAAGGCGGCCCCCUGGACAAAGACUGACGCUCAGGUGCGAAAGCGUGGGGAGCAAACAGG
rnacentral:rRNA from 1 species